AAGCCCUCAAAAAAAAAGAAAAAGAAAAAGAAAAAGAAAGCAGAAGCCUACGAGAACCACAGUCCAGCCGACCAGCCGCCGCCGCGCGAUAACCGGAGUUAAUGGAGACGCCGCCCCCAUGGAGGGUCCUCGAGUUCUACAGCGGUAUCGGCGGCAUGCGGUACUCCCUUGCGUCGUCGGGCGUUCGAGCGGAGGUGGUGGAGGCCUUUGACAUCAACGACGUCGCCAACGACGUCUACGAGCACAACUUCGGCCACCGCCCCUGCCAGGGAAACAUUCAAACACUCACUGCUGGUGAUCUAGACAAGUACAAGGCACAUGCAUGGCUCCUUUCUCCUCCAUGUCAACCAUAUACACGGCAAGGACUUCAGAAACAUUCAGCUGAUGCUCGGGCAUUUUCAUUUAUAAAGAUUUUAAACCUUAUGCAAAACAUGAGCUUUCCUCCACAAAUGUUAUUUGUGGAAAAUGUUGUCGGAUUCGAGGUAUCUGAUACACAUGACCAGUUGCUAGCGGUCCUUUCAACUCUCAGUUUCAACACACAAGAAUUCAUCCUAAGCCCCUUGCAGUUUGGUGUCCCAUAUUCUAGACCGCGCUACUUCUGUUUGGCAAAACAGGAAUCUAUGUGUUUUCCAAAUCCAUCAGUCAAUGACAAGCUGCUUAGGACACCUACAUGCCUAACAUUGAACACUACGAGAACUCAGAAUAGCUAUGACCAGAAUGAAGAUGAUCUGGAAGUAGUAUGUAAUCCAAUAAGAAACUUCCUUGAAGCACAGAGUAUUGGAGAUAAGGAAUCUUCAGCCAUCAUCUCUGACUUUAAGGAGGCUGAUGGAUGCACUCCGAUUGAAACUGCUUCACAUGACUACACAGUUCCACUAAGCUUGAUUGAACGGUGGGGAAAUGCUAUGGAUAUUGUAUACCCUGAAUCAAAACGGUGCUGCUGUUUUACUAAAAGUUAUUAUCGCUAUGUGAAGGGCACAGGCUCUGUACUGGUUACAUCUAAAAGCCUCAAACCAGUUCCAAAAGAGAACCUUGAAAUGUCUUCACUGAGUGAGUUGGGUCUACGGUUUUUCACCCCUCGAGAGGUCGCUAAUUUGCAUUCAUUUCCCCCGAGUUUCCGUUUUCCGGAUCAGAUAAGCCUCAGACAACAGUAUGCCAUGCUGGGUAAUAGUCUGAGCAUAGCGGUUGUGGCUCCUUUGUUGUGCUAUCUGUUUGCCGAGACAUAGACAAGUUCUCAAUCAUUUGGCAGGUGAUAUUCACCUUGGCCCGCCAUCUGAUAUUUGUCAAAAUCUUGCCACACUUGAGUUGCAAGUAUGAUAUUUUAUCCAUCAGUUUUUGUGUGUCUCCGAUCUGUGCAUUGUUGUGAGUUGUGAUCAUGCUCAUCCUUCACGCCACGGUGCAGUUUCACCGAGCUUGAGGACGUGCGGUCAAUUCGCUGACGGCCUAGCAGGUAGUAUUACAGUGAAGAGGUGGGUGCGUCCAAAAUAAGGCGGCAUGUACGGCCGAAGCUCAACCUUUGGAUCUAUUGUAGCAUAUACCAAUACCAGUCCCAAGUACUCCCUCCGUCCCAAAAUAAAACUAGUACAAAGUUGAGUCACUUAUUUGUAAAAUUAGUACAAAGUUGAGUCAUUUAUUUUGGGAUGGAGGGAAUAUUAGGGGUCGACCUCUGCUUUGUGCCUUCCACUCCACAGCCAUAUUUAUGUUGCAACAUUGCAUGUUUUGAGGCCCAGUUAGUAAUGUGAUAAUUUUGUUUUGGGCAAGUGUAAUGUGAUACUAUGUGAUGACUUAUCGUAUUGCGUGCAAUAAAUGGAUGCAAAUCAAAUCCCACUAUGUACCU
rnacentral:rRNA from 1 species